rnacentral:lncRNA from 10 species
CGGAAGCCGCCUCGGGUUUUCUAGCGGAGCGCCGGAUUAGGCAGUCCCCGCCCCGGUGCCCCUGAUUGGGUAGGGCCUCAGGCCCCGCCCCCUCAGACUCUUAGUGACAGGUGACAGCUCCCGCGCGUGUCUGAAUGAGGCAGCGUUCUGGCUACAGCUCUUCUCCAAGAGGGUUUCCUCUCUGGGUUGGGACCCAGCCUUGCCUAGGGGACAUUCAUUUAUAUACACUUAACCUUGUAUACAAUGUUACAUUCAUUUGUGAAUAAUAUAUAUGAUAUUUAAAAUAGGAAACAAUAUAAUAAUAAUUCUUUUAAAAUUUCAGACUUAUUAACCUUCAUGGCCUCUGGUCUUCUGAGGAAGCAGUCUGAGGAGCCCGAGUUUUGAAAAGGGAAGCAAUCCUCCAAGGCUGCGAUUUCCACAGAAAUCACAUGUGAGCCACAGGUGUCAUUUUAAAAUUUCUAGUAGCAACAGAAACGAGGAACUUGGAAGUGCUCGCUCCCACUGUCUGGCUUCUCCUCACUCUUGGCAUCCACUCCAAUCACAGAGAAAAGGGGAGUCUGGGCCCACGCACCUAUCAACCCAUCACCUAGGUAUUAAGCCCAGCAUGCAUUAGCCAUCUCCUCUUUGACUUUUAACAUGAAAUUCUCAUGAUCAUUUUAUGUUAUCAAUGACCAGUCAUAGGUUUUAAAAUGCUGGCUGUUACUUGUGUAUAAUAACAAUGACAUUUUUAUUAAUAAAACAAAACACGGGAUACUUUUUUUUCAAAGAACACAUUAAUUGCCUGAGAGGGCUCGGGAGCUUCACCCUCAGCCCCAGCCACCCAUGGCUGUCACUUCUCACAGUGAGGGCUGAGAUGUGCAUUUAGAUUGAUCAGUUUUACCGAGUGUCGGUGACUUCUGCUCACUUUCUCCAAUGAGCUCCAUCCUCGGGGGACUGAUUUUUAUUCUAAUGUUAUUUCAGAAUAUUUGUUUUAGUAGAGACGGGGUUUCUUCCUGUUGAUCAGGCUGGUCUCGAACUCCCGACCUCAGGUGAUCUGCCCGCCUCCGCCUCUCAAAGUGCUGGGAUUACAGGCGUGAGCCACUGUGCCCAGCCUCAAAUUCUUUUAAUAUAUCCCACAAAAAAAGAGAUUUGUCCUAUUCCUUCUCAUUCUAGCAUUCUAGUCUUCAUAGAUAUAUGUAUUUGUUUUAUGUUUUCUUUUUUUGAGAUGUAGUCUUGGAGUGUCGCCUGGGCUGGAGUGCAAUGGUGCAAUUUUGGCUCACUACAACCUCCGCCUCACAGGUUCAAGUGAUUCUUCUGUCUCAGCCUCUGGAAUAGCUGGGAUUACAGGCGCCUAUCACCAUACCCAGCUAUUUUUUUGUAUUUUUAGUAGAGACAGGGUUUCACUAUGAUGGCCAGGCUGGUCUGGAUCUCCUGACCUCAUGAUCCGCCCACCUCAGCCUCCCAAAGUGCUGGGAUUACAGGCGUGAGCCACCGGGCCUGGCUGUUUUUUUUUUUUUUUUUUUUAACAAAUAUUUUAGUCUUAUUUGUAAAUCAUUUAUACAUAUUCACACGAAGAAAAAUAAAUUUCAGAAUGGAAUCUUGGGACCAUUGUAGUUAAAAAAAAUAUAUAUAUAUAUAUAUAUUUCUGAUCAUUAGCCACUUGAAGACAAGGCAAGAGGCUUAGCAGUCAUUUCUAGGGGUUAGUGUAUCUCCCCAUGCAAGGGACAAUUGAGAAGAAUCCAAGCUGCUCCCUCAUCUUCCCUCAAUUUUAACCUUCUGGAGACAAUAUGGGGGAAGGGGAUUUUCCAGUGCUUUCCCCUAGAAACAUUGCAAGAGGUACAGCCAAGUCUUACGGUAACACUGAACCUGCUCUUUGCUAGCAAUUUAGCAAGUUUGCAACCUGUGAACCAACCUACUAGAAGAGUUAGCCUAAUUCCUAUUCACAGGUACUUCUAAGAGGAGGAGGGAUUGCUGCACUCAUCACACCCGCUUCCCACUUGCUCUGUUCUCCCACCAAGGCCCCAGAACAGAGCUCUUGAUCUCAUCUGAUCUAGUCCCUCCCCGCUCCCACCCAGCCUCAUUUCACAAGUGAACCUUCCUCCCACCCCACACUCAGACAGACACUCUGUAACUGUUGGCCCUGGCAGCUCCUGAGGACUGCUGGGAUGAUGACACAGCAUUUUUGCAUCAGCAUCGUACUCACAGGGACUCGGAGCUCAGCCAGGAGAGGUCCAAGAAUGACGGAACUCUAGAACCCCUACCAAAACUCAGCUCUGCAGAGCCAAAUAAACAAUUCAACCCAACAGGCCAACUCCUAACAUCCCAUCCCAGACAGUCAUCACUGGAGGCGCGCAGUAGAUGAACCUCCUACUUGCACUGAACCAUUACCAAUUCCCAGUAACAGUGGGGGAAAGGACAGACAUGACAAAUGUGGUAGACCCUAUCAGAAAUGGUAGCUGAUGACAACAGUUAGCCUAGAUCACUGGGUCCUAUCCAAAAAGAACGGGCAUGAUGAGCAGAGGGCUCUGUAGCUGGAUGUACAGCCCUUAAAUUACUAAGGGACUCAGAGAAAACAAGCCUUGUUUUCCUACGAUUAUCUAGGAACUGGAACACGGACUACCCACCCCUAUGUUGAGGCAGCUUCUGACAGGCCUUACUGCUUACGGUCAUCGGUCAUCAGCCCACCCGCUUGGUAGGUGCAUUUGGGGGGAGGGACUCACAUCACAUCCAGAGGGGGGACCCAUCUAGGCGGACACCACAGGGCAGCCCAUCCCACUGUCACUGGGGCAGGCCAAACACGGUUAGCAGGGCGGACUGAUUCCAGCCAUCAGCCGCCCUACAGGCGUCGCUCUGGCCUAACACAGAAUGCGAAAUGCAGGGUGCUCCAAGUGUUCUCCGACAUGGCACCUCCUUCACCCCGAGGGCCCCGGCUUUUCUUCCACAUGUUCAGGGCCUCCAGAAAGUGCUCUGCAGCCUCCCAGUGAGCCCCAGGUUAUAGCCUCCCAGUGAGCCCUGCAGCUGAUGCCCAGGUUAUAGCGGGACUGGAUAUAGCCAGGCUGGAGCUCAAGGGCCUGGCAGUAUGAAGUUACUGCUUCUUCACUCUGGUUUUCCUUCCACAGCAAAUAGUCAUUGGGAUGAACACUGAAGGUAGCUGUGAAGCAGUUCAUGGCCUUGUCGUAUUCUCCACUCAGGUUGAAAAGGACCUGCAAGCCACACUGCACAUCAGGGUCCAUGGAUGUAGGGUCCAGUUGCACAGUUGCUAGGAAGAGCUCUUUCAUUUCAAGAAACAGGGAGUCAGACAACAGAGAUCCCAAGAUAUGCUUGCUGGCGCCCAGUCCUGCCCCGCCAGCCCCUUCUUCAGCAGGUGUCACCAGAUAGCCACAGGCUGGUGUGUGGCAGGGUUUCACAGGCCUGUCACUGCAGAGGCUCAUUGGUAAAGCCUGCAGCCGGGGCCAUCAGUGCUUAUCUGGCUUUAGCUCCAGACACCUCUGCAAUGCUCUGAUGGCUCACAGUUCUUGUUCAUUCUCUGCCUGGUUGGUACCCAGAUACGGCCAAGCUUCCAUGUGCUUAGGAUCCUGCUGCAUAGCUGCCUCAAAAAGCAGCACAGCAUUUGGGAGGGCCCUCUCCUGAAGUCGCUGCAGCCCUUCUUUGAAAGGCUGAGGGUGAUCA